GAGCGGGGUCUGCGGCCGGAGCGGGGAUGGCGGCACGGGUCCGGUCGGACCGGGGGAUAACACACCGACAGGCUGCUGCCAGAGCCAAAGGAGACGAAGGAAUGUAUGGCCCAUGGCUAUGGAAUCAUAGAAUCACCAAGACUGGAAGAGACCUUUGGGAUCAUCCAGUCCAACCUUCAGCCCAGCACUACCUCUGUAACCCCUAAAUUAUUGUUCCAUUUCCAAAUGAUGUAUGUUUACCAGUGGAGUCGUGUAACUAUUGAAGGUCUGGGCCUUAGGGUAGAGGACUUGGGUAACUUGAAUGUUACUAAAUCUAACAACAGGAGAAAAACCUUUGCAGCCAUACCUACAUGGAGUGUAGUCAUGGAGUGUACAACUGGAGAUAAUAAACCAACUCAAGAAUA